CAUGGUUGCAAAUGUUUGUCUUUCCCAUCACACGCAACUCUUGUCGGUGACUUUACCUGAUUGAUCGACGGGGUAAUGAGGACCGGACACGAUUAUUUGUUAGAUCGACCAAUCAGCGAACCGUUAUUUCAAUCAUUUGAUGUGAUGGGGCGUCCGCCAAAUUCGAUUACUUCAAAUCGAAACAAGCGAGCAAUUUAUUUUCGACUGGUUUAUGGAAUAGGUGCCCAAAUACAAAACUUGAAAGUCGUAAAUGUCAAUUGCAAUGUCAUAGUUUUUCAUUUGUGUAUCCGAGCGUGUACUUUCAACACUGUUGAUCAGCGAGAGCAAAAAGUUUUAACAACGCAGCGAAGAGUUCAUAACUAUCGUGCACAAUUUGCACCGUAGGAAUUCUGGUAAAAAUUAUAAUUUUACGGAGUGCGGUAUUUGCAUAAUGUCGCAAUGCCGCAACCAAACUAUUCCUGUAAAAUUGCAAUAACUUGAACAAUUUCCCUUGUAAUUGUCCUUGUGUGCUGGGUGGUUGACAAUUAUUCCGCUUAAACAACGAACAUGCAUGGGAAUUAUCCCACUUAUAAAUUUAAUUUGAAUACAGGUAAAACCAUAAACAAGGGCUUAUUGCUCUCGGUAUUUCGUAGAUGGCUUUAUCCAGACAUUUUCCCAGUCCAGUCCUCGGUUUUUGCCACCGCAGCUCCACACACUAAUGCACAAACGCUGCUCGGUGAUCUCAUCAACCAUUCCCGCAAAUAUCUUUGGCCUCCCUCGGCACAGGCUGUCCUUUGUCAACCCCCGACGCCGAAGACGCGAUCGAAUUUUUAUUGUCCCAGCUUCACAUGUGCGCGCUUUCUUUUCAUGGACCAAAAAACGCAUAAUAUGAGCGAUAAAGCAUAUUGGAAAAGGGGAAAUCCCGCGACCCUAAAUUAUAGUUCUAGGGUGUCACUUUAUAGGUUUCCCGAUUUACGUCAACGCAAGAUGACGACGGCAAUGAUGGGGCUCAGCUCGCGAUAUACGCGACUUCCUGCAACCGCAGCCCUCUCUUGUGUACGCCAGCAUCCCCCUAACGCACCAGGUCGAUUCCCAGGGGAUCCACCAGAUAACACUUAAUGGCAUCUUUGCACUCAAGAUUUGCACUGUUUAAAAUUUUUACAAGGGGCGCUUCGGCUUUAUUUCACUUUCAUCCCGGAUCAGACGUGACAAUUUUCGAGGGGCUUAAGCUAAUAGAUGAAUAUAUUCAUAGAAUAUCGGGACUAGAUAAAAAAGGAUCUCUUUUAAAUUUUAUUGCGACGCAAGGAUUAUGACACGCGAAAAAAUCCAAUUUCACUGUUCCACCUCCGUCGCAACGUCAUAAAUAAAACGAAUGGCUGCGAGGAAUGGCGACCUUUCUUUUCAAAAUUUCCUCGCACUUGUAAAAAACAGUUUACCGUCUGAAUUUUUUAGGCCACUCAAACCCAUCAUUAUUUAUGGGUUGCAAUAGCAAUCGAGCCGGUCAGGAAAACCGUGCUGUUGGUUACAUAGUUCCACUCAGAUCCCAGCGCUACUUAAUUGGCAAAACUCGCAUUCCGUUCAAUCUGGUGCAGUAAACUAGAAAUAGAUGGAGUUCAUGUACGGGAGCCCCCGGGUGUUUUUAAUAAUGGUGGCGGCGCCACAGCUGCGCCCCCGGAACCCGACGACCCGCUGCUUCUAAUAUACCGAGACGUAUCUAAUCGAUUAAACAACCAAACCGAUCAUUAUGUCCGCGAGUCUAUCAUGUUAUAUCAAGCCGCGGGUGGUCCCUGGACCACGUAACAAUUAUGGCCGAAUACAAUGGUUCACGUGGUCGUCGGUGACGCCAGCUGGGCAUAAUUUACGGUGUUGUUAAAUGAAAACGUGUGACUACACAUAAGCGAACGGAGGCCCCCGUAUAUAAAAUCGGGGGCGUAGCCGAUGACGCGAGAUUGGAAACUGAUCAAGAUGAAUGAAGUUCACAAUGAGUUCAAAGCGAGCGAGUUCAACUUAGGGCUGUGAAUAAUGAAACGCCGCCGUCAAAACACGAACCGAUUGCAGUCUGUUAUUAUCACCCCCUACACUGGAAGAGUUGCACUGCAAGCACGCCGUUUUCCGUGUUUAUUUUAAGCGUAACUAGACAAACGAUAUCGACUAAGCUGCGGACAAAUUCGAGGGGCGAAAGCUGUUAUUACAAAUUAAUAUGUACCACCACGACAGUGUUAUCGCCGUUUCAUGACCAAGAUUUCAAGCGCGAGGAUUCCGACUGCAUAAAAUGCGUGCCCGCUUAUGAUUUUAUCGGCACUUGUUCAAAUAAUGCUUCCAAUAAAAAGAGUAAUUUACUACUGAAUAAACUUUCAGAAAUAUGAGCGUUUUUACUUCCUAUUUCCCUCCCGUUCCAGGCUCUAUGACUUCAUAACGCAUUC